rnacentral:rRNA from 1 species
GUGCCAGCAGCCGCGGUAAUACAGAGGGUGCGAGCGUUGUCCGGAAUCACUGGGCGUAAAGGGCGCGUAGGCGGCCCCUUAAGCGUGUGGUGAAAGCGCGGGGCUCAACCCCGCGUCGGCCAUGCGGACUGGGGGGCUGGAGCACGUCAGAGGCAGGCGGAAUUCCGGGUGUAGCGGUGGAAUGCGUAGAGAUCCGGAAGAACACCGGUGGCGAAGGCGGCCUGCUGGGACGUGGCUGACGCUGAGGCGCGACAGCGUGGGGAGCAAACAGGAUUAGAAACCCGCGUAGUCC